GUGACAAAGUGUUAAGAACGUGAUUAAAGAAGUCACUUACAGAAAAUAGUGUAACUUGAUUUUUAAUAGUAUAAGAAAGUGAUAGUAUAUCGAUAUGCAGUGCGGACAGAGUUUCGUGUUCCACAUGUUGGUGUUGUUGACCAUCGCCACUGUAGGAAUCAUGUCUUUUAACUCCGCUCGGAUUCACAAACGCCCCACUUUGACGCAAUUGGGGAGAUACACUCCUAAACGAAGCCCGCACGGGCUGGGAAGCUGGCACUUAUCUGGUUCCAAAACGACAAGGACUACAGGUCAUUGGUCCGAGAGUGAUUCAGUUCGACCUAUAGUCAGCGGGGAAAAGGGGGCUUACGUAUACAUCUUUCAGGAAUCGAGACUUAUACCCCUGCUCGGACUCAUCACCGUCCCACAAGGGUGCAAGGUGCUAAAGGAAACCCACACGCCCCCGGAAAUUGGCAGCCCGUGUCCUGGUGCCAGUGUGGCCACACCGGAUGUGCCUGCUGCGAGGACAGUUUGGCCAGCCUCAAAAAUAAAAAGUUUCAUCUAAACGCUUGUAUUACUGUGGAUUGGAAUUCGGCCACAGAUGCAUACUCUGUUGUUCUCUCCGUCAAUGGCCGGACGCUGUACCACACCAUUACCAAUAUGCCUUCGAGCACCAUGGAAACAUGUGUGCCAGCGACCCGCAUGGAUGUGAAGGGAGAGAUCUGCUUUCGUUUCUAUAACUUCGAUCAAGGGACGGGGAACUUGUGCGCCUCAUUGGAGGCGGAAAUAGAGAUAGAGGAUCUAAAGGAAAUCAUUGCGAUAAAUUACGGCUGUUUUCGGAUUGGAACACGGCCUGAGUUAACACAAAACAGAUCCGAAUAGAAUCACGUGCAUGGAGUACGGAUUUUCGUGCAAUAUAGAAACGACGACAGAUAGAAAAUCAUCUUUUUUAUGAGAUAUUUAUAUUUAUAUUAUUUCUAUGUUUUGUUUUUUUAACACUUCGGCACAACGGUUGCUACUGACCAACACCGGGACCCAAUAUAUCACGAAAAUACUUAAGUCAAAACUCAAACUCAAUCUCAACUCAUUUUACCAUAUAACAUCAAAAUGUAUUGAGAAAAAUAUAUGUUUUUACACAUUUUAAAGCCGCAUUCUCUCAUUGAAUAUGUUGAUUGAAACCUUGUGUCUUGAUACCAAUGGAAAAAUAUUCUACCGCCAAAAAUGUACUUGAGUACAAAUCAGUGUCAUUUGACAUUUACUCAAGUAAAGUUUUUGCUAUAGAAUAAGUUUUCAUUUGAAUAUUGUCAAAAUCUUUCAAUAACACAUUCAAUGAGAAAAUGCGUUUUCAAAAAGUAUAAAAAACAUGCAAUAUUUUAAAGGAUAUUAUGUUUUAUAUGGUGAAAUGAGUUGAGACUGAGUUUGAGAUUUGACUUUAGUAUUUUCAUGAUAUUGGGUCCGGAACUUUUAUUGAAACACCUGAUAUAUCUAAUUUCCAUGUUUAAACGGAUAUACUCUCCGCUUUUCAACAGUUGAAAAUCUUACAUAAACUAAAGAUUGUUCACGAUUUCAAUAAA